AGUCCAAGAUCUGGUUGUCCCAUCAGUUCAACCUCUGCAAGGACCUCAUAGCAGAUGGCAUUAGAAUGGAAGGAGUAUGCAUACAUAAGAGAUUACAUGGCAAGACUAGAAGCCACAGAGAGAUUCAGGGACCAAGUUUGCCCUUUUAUAACUUACUCUGGCAAGAAUUCAUUCCAUAAUAUCAGAAUUAAUUCCUCUGGCAGUACCCCCAGGAACCUAGUCAUCAUGCACUAAGCCCCUACCUCCUUUUUUUUUUAAAUUUUUGGGUACUGGUGAUUGAAUCCAGAGGUGCUCAAGCCACAUCCCUAGUUCUUUUUUUUUGAGACAGGGUUUUGCUAAGUUGCUGAGGCUGUCCUCAAAGUUGUGAUCCUUCUGCCUGAGCCUCCCAAAAUGUUGGGAUUAAGGCACGCCCCACUGCAUCUGACCUAAUAAAUUCCAUCUCUUGAAAGUCCUGCCACCUCUUAAGGCUGCCAUAUUGGAACUAAGCCUCCAAUAAGUGAGCCUUUGGGGGCAAACCACAUACAAACUAUGGUAAUAACUAUUUUUCAACCUAUUUAUCACCUCUUUGUCAACUUGAACCAAUUGAAUAUAUUUGAUAGCAACAACAAAAAGCAACAGUUUAUUAUUUGACAUAAAGGUAUGUAUUAUGUACUUAUUAAAUAACUGGUACUUGUCUCAAUAUCUUAAAUGUUUUAAUUCAGCAAACCCCUAGAAGGAUACUGCUAUUAGCCCCAUACAAACAAUGAAAUUUAGACAUGAAAAUUAAAUAAUUUAACCAUAGUCACACAGCUUGAAAGGAAGAAGCUGGAAUUCAGAUUUAAAUAAUCUGGCUCCAGACCAAGGUUUCUCAUCCUUAGCACUUGUGACAUUUAGGGCCAAAUAAUCCUUUUGUUGUUGGAGUCAUCCUCUGUAUUGUAGAAUAUUUAGCAGCAAUCCCUACUGGAUGCUAGGAGUUUUCCCAACCAAAUUAUGAUGACCAAAUAACUCUAGCCAUUGCCAAAUGUUUCCUUGAGCAUGGGAUGGCACAAUCACCCUGGUUAAGUCUUGUCUAGAACAACCCCUACUCAUGUUAUGUAGAAACUCCUUAUAUAAAUUACCUCUUGAAGUCACACAAUGGAAAUAUGGAAAGCUAGACUAUAACAUAAAAUUCACCUAUAGCCUUCCCCUUUAUUUUGCUUGUACUACUCAUUUUCAUACUGUUUAAAAGGAAUCUUAGACUUGGAAAUGGCAGAAACUCAUUCUUUUAAUGGGAACUUAUGGCAGACAUAGCAAUCUACUAUUUCUAUUGCUCUUGAUAUUCUUACUCUUAGCAGGAGAGUUAGGCCCAGCCCAAGGGGAAUGGUGCAGAUAAGAUAG
rnacentral:lncRNA from 1 species